GACGUAGGGCGCGAGCGUUGUCCGGAAUUAUUGGGCGUAAAGAGCUCGUAGGCGGCUUGUUGCGUCGUCCGUGAAAUCCCGUGGCUCAACUGCGGGCUUGCGGACGAUACGGGCAGGCUAGAGUUCGGUAGGGGAGACUGGAAUUCCUGGUGUAGCGGUGAAAUGCGCAGAUAUCAGGAGGAACACCGGUGGCGAAGGCGGGUCUCUGGGCCGAUACUGACGCCGAAGAGCGAAAGCGUGGGGAGCGAACAGG
rnacentral:rRNA from 1 species